GCCUGGGUGGCUUAGUCGGUUGAGUGUCUGACUUUGGCUCAGGUCAUGAUCUUGCUGUUCGUGGGUUCAAGCCCCACAUUGGGGU
rnacentral:tRNA from 1 species